ACUGUGUCACUCUUGCCCUAGAGCUCCGUCAUUGCAGUCGUGCUUAGGUAGUCUCUGUCUUGCUUCUUCUUCUCUUUCAACUGCAUAAUGUCUCUUCUUUUUUGCAUUUCUUUCACGCCUUGCAUUUCUCUUUGAACUUUAUUUAGUAUUAAAGAUGAGCAGUAUUUUGUUUUAACUAUUUUUUACUUGAAGUAUGAUGAGUAUGCUAUUGUAUGUUGAUAUGUAUUUCAGGGAAGUGAAGAAGAUGUUCCAGACACAGAACAAGCUAAACAAUUUACCAAGCAAAGGGCCAGAGGAUUGAGGCAACAAUCAGGAAAUCAUUAAUCUCCGGCAAUCAUUUUCAUAUAUGGAUGGUGGAAAGCAUGAAAAAAAGCAUCUUUGAGUGGAAAUUGGCACCAAGCGGAAGUUGUUUAUGUGUUGGAUUGAUGUAAGGUACGAGAAAGAAACAUAGGGGGUAGAGGCAGCAGUGGAACUGGGUUUGUGAUUGAAGGUCCUUUGUGCUCCACUCAAUAGGUUACAAAGAUAGGUUGGAACUAAUGUAUGUGUCCUUAAUAGUAUACAUGUAUUGUCCUAUGCGCUUUAAGUAACACUUGAAGUCCUGAACCAAAACCCCACUACUUUUAUAUCACACCAGACAUCUACUGUAUGGUGUUAAUUAAAUUUACCAUGUUUGAGUGUGUAUGUCUGUGUGAGAUAUACUUUCACAUAUAAUACAACUCUUAAAAAAAUUCAUCCUAA